GGGUUAGUAACGCGUGGGAACAUACCCUUCUCUAAGGAAUAGCCUCGGGAAACUGAGAGUAAUACCUUAUACGCCCCUCGGGGGAAAGAUUUAUCGGAGAAGGAUUGGCCCGCGUUAGAUUAGAUAGUUGGUGGGGUAAUGGCCUACCAAGUCUACGAUCUUUAGCUGGUUUUAGAGGAUGAUCAGCAACACUGGGACUGAGACACGGCCCAGACUCCUACGGGAGGCAGCAGUGGGGAAUCUUAGACAAUGGGCGCAAGCCUGAUCUAGCCAUGCCGCGUGAGUGAUGAAGGCCUUAGGGUCGUAAAGCUCUUUCGCCAGGGAUGAUAAUGACAGUACCUGGUAAAGAAACCCCGGCUAACUCCGUGCCAGCAGCCGCGGUAAUACGGAGGGGGUUAGCGUUGUUCGGAAUUACUGGGCGUAAAGCGCGCGUAGGCGGAUCAGAAAGUUGGGGGUGAAAUCCCGGGGCUCAACCCCGGAACUGCCUCCAAAACUCCUGGUCUAGAGUUCGAGAGAGGUGAGUGGAAUUCCGAGUGUAGAGGUGAAAUUCGUAGAUAUUCGGAGGAACACCAGUGGCGAAGGCGGCUCACUGGCUCGAUACUGACGCUGA
rnacentral:rRNA from 1 species